GGUUAAGUUAAUAAGGGCGCGUGGUGGAUGCCUUGGCACUAGGAGCCGAUGAAGGACGUGACUAACUACGAUAAGCUUUGGUGAGCGGUAAGUACGCUAUGACCCAGAGAUUUCCGAAUGGGGAAACCUAACUCGUAAGAGUUGUCUGUAUCUGAAUACAUAGGAUAUUUGACGGAAUACGCUGUGAACUGAAACAUCUCAUUAGCAGCAGGAGCAGAAAGAAAAAUCGAUUCCCUCAGUAGCGGCGAGCGAACGGGGAAGAGCCCAAACCAACGUGCUUGCAUGUUGGGGUUGUAGGACUGAUAAAUAAGAGUUACAAAAGUGUUUUAUAGCAGAACAAGUUGGGAAGCUUGGCAAGAUAGGGUGAUAGCCCCGUAAGCGAAAUAAAGCAGACUCUUUUCAGGAUCCUGAGUACGGCCGGACACGAGAAAUCCGGUCGGAAUCCGCGGGGACCAUCCCGUAAGGCUAAAUACUCCCUAGUGACCGAUAGUGAACCAGUACCGUGAGGGAAAGGUGAAAAGCACCCCGGAAGGGGAGUGAAAUAGUUCCUGAAACCACGACGCCUACAAGAAGUCAGAGCCCGUUAAUGGGUGAUGGCGUGCCUUUUGUAGAAUGAACCGGCGAGUUACGGUAUCGUGCGAGGUUAAGGUGGAAAGACCGGAGCCGCAGCGAAAGCGAGUGUGAAUAGCGCGAAUAGUACGAUGCUGUAGACCCGAAACCAGGUGACCUACCCAUGGUCAGGAUGAAGGUGAGGUAAAACUUACUGGAGGUCCGAACCGGUGCAUGUUAAAAAAUGCUCGGAUGAACUGUGGGUAGCGGUGAAAUUCCAAACGAACUUGGAGAUAGCUGGUUCUCUCCGAAAUAGCUUUAGGGCUAGCCUCAUUAUAAGCAUACUGGAGGUAGAGCACUGUUAAGCCUAGGGGCCCAUCUCGGGUUACCAAAGUUUGAUAAACUCCGAAUGCCAGAUAUGUAUGAAUGGGAGUCAGACGAUGAGUGAUAAGAUCCACCGUCGAAAGGGGAACAGCCCAGAUCGCCAGUUAAGGUCCCUAAAUAUAUGUUAAGUGGAAAACGAUGUGAUAGUGCAUAGACAACUAGGAUGUUGGCUUAGAAGCAGCCACCAUUUAAAGAGUGCGUAAUAGCUCACUAGUCGAGUGCCAUUGCGCGGAAAAUGUACCGGGGCUAAACAUAUUACCGAAACUGCGGGUGCCACUUAGUGGCGCGAUAGGAGAGCGUUGUAAGGGCAAUGAAGGUAGACCGUAAGGACUGCUGGAGCGCUUACAAGUGAGAAUGCCGGUAUGAGUAGCGAAAGACAGGUGAGAAUCCUGUCCACCGAAUGACUAAGGUUUCCUGGGGAAGGCUCGUCCACCCAGGGUUAGUCGGGACCUAAGGCGAGGCUGAGAAGCGUAGUCGAUGGCUAACAGGUUGAGAUUCCUGUACCAGUUGUAAUGCGUUUGACCGAUGGAGGGACGCAGGAGGCUACCAGAAGCGCACUGAUGGAUAUGUGCGUGCAAGCAGUAAGUCUUAACCCGUACCGCAAACCGACACAGGUAGUCGAGUGGAGAACACUAAGGUGAGCGAGAGAACCCUCGUUAAGGAACUCGGCAAAAUGACCCCGUAACUUCGGGAGAAGGGGUGCUCAUUGUAAAAGAUGAGCCGCAGUGAAUAGGCCCAGGCGACUGUUUAUCAAAAACACAGGUUUCUGCAAAAUCGUAAGAUGAAGUAUAGGGGCUGACGCCUGCCCGGUGCUGGAAGGUUAAAAGGAGUGCUUAGCUUCGGCGAAGGUACGAAUUGAAGCCCCAGUAAACGGCGGCCGUAACUAUAACGGUCCUAAGGUAGCGAAAUUCCUUGUCGGGUAAGUUCCGACCCGCACGAAAGGCGUAACGAUCUGGGCACUGUCUCAACGAGGGACUCGGUGAAAUUUAAAUACCCGUGAAGAUGCGGGUUACCCGCGACAGGACGGAAAGACCCCAUGGAGCUUUACUGUAGCUUGAUAUUGAAUGUUUGUGCUGCUUGUACAGAAUAGGUAGGAGACGUUGAAGAUUGGACGCUAGUCUAGUCGGAGUCGAAAGGUGGGAUACUACCCUCGUUGUAUGAACAUUCUAACACUGGUCACUUAGCGUGAUCGUGGACAGUGUCUGGCGGGCAGUUUGACUGGGGCGGUCGCCUCCUAAAAGGUAACGGAGGCGCUCAAAGGUUUGCUCAGAAUGGUUGGAAAUCAUUCGUAGCGUGUAAAGGCAUAAGCAAGCUUGACUGUGAGAGCUACAACUCGAGCAGGUACGAAAGUAGGACUUAGUGAUCCGGUGGUUCCGCAUGGAAGGGCCAUCGCUCAACGGAUAAAAGCUACCCUGGGGAUAACAGGCUCAUCUCCCCCAAGAGUCCACAUCGACGGGGAGGUUUGGCACCUCGAUGUCGGCUCAUCGCAUCCUGGGGCUGUAGUCGGUCCCAAGGGUUGGGCUGUUCGCCCAUUAAAGCGGUACGCGAGCUGGGUUCAGAACGUCGUGAGACAGUUCGGUCCCUAUCCGUCGCGGGCGCAGGAAAUUUGAGAGGAGCUGUCCUUAGUACGAGAGGACCGGGAUGGACAUACCGCUGGUGUACCAGUUGUUCCGCCAGGAGCAUUGCUGGGUAGCUAUGUAUGGAUGAGAUAAACGCUGAAAGCAUCUAAGUGUGAAACUCGCCUCGAGAUGAGAUUUCCCAUCUAUUAAUAGAGUAAGACCCCUUAGAGAUGAUGAGGUAGAUAGGCUAGAAGUGGGAGUUGAGUGAUCAAUGAAGCGGACUAGUACUAAUAGGUCGAGGACUUAACCAA
rnacentral:rRNA from 1 species